UAGUAUUGAUCAAAUCGUCUUAGUAGAAAUGUAGAUUCACAAAUCUAACAUGGUAUCAGUCCUGAGAAUUUCAAUUCUCAAGGGUAUCGAUCCUUUCCGCUGCUAAAUCUUAAAUUCUUUACCAAUUUCUUCUGCUACUGUUGUUCUUCAUCAUCUUCAGUUAGGGUUUAUGAAAGAUUGAUUUCAAGAUUCAAGGAGUUUGUCAGAAGAGUUGCUACUGGUGAUUUCUUAGUGUGAAUUAGGGUUUGAUCCUGAUGCUUUACUGCAACGUCGUCAAAUUGGAUUAAGCGUGUAUAUUGGAUCUAAAAUUCAGUUUUAGGGUUUGAGCUCUUGGUUAUUUCAAUUUCCUGUUGGUGUAUGGAUUGAAAUCUCUUACCUCAUCAACUAUCACAUGAAUCUCUGCUGGUAAUCUCAAUCUUAACCUUUAGAUUACUUUAGAUUUGAUCUCAUGUGUUCAAUUUCUACAUCACCAUCUCAACAAAAUUCAAUUUGGUCUGCAAAUUCUGUUUUCAUCAUAACUUGGUAUGAUUUUGACCUAGUUCUUUUAUCAAAUCCUACCGGUACUGAUUCCUGGAUCUAUUCAGUCUGAGCAUGCCUAUUUAUGCUACAAUAGUUAGUUAGGAAGAAGCUUAAUGUUGUUCCAUUGAAUAGUGGGGAAAGAUUCUUCUUAAAUCCAGUAGAAUGUUGGGGUACGUGUGUGUGUUGAUUGUUUGCUGCUCCAUUGAGUGCUUAAUUUUGCUUCAAUUAGCUCCUCCUCUCAAUGUUAUUUUGGUACAGUCCUCACAAUAGUGGUAUGUGAGUGAGUCGGUUUGUGUGUGCAACGAUGGAACUGAGGAUGUUGUCUCGGGAUUAUAAUUGGUGAGAUAUAUAAGUACAGACUGAAGUUCUCUUUGAUGAGUCUGCAUUCAAUUGAGAAUGUGGCCUGCAAUCCUUUAUCCUUUAUCUUUUCUAUUGUUUUUCAUGUUGCUGAAUAAUGUCAGACUAUCUCUUGUUUGCUGGGUUUAUUAUUUCUUCUAUCGCAAAUAAUAUGGGUACUUUAAUAAGUGAUUUUCAAUAAGUUGCUUCAGCUUGAGUUUGCUAAAAUCAGUUGCAGUAGAGAGAGUAGAGGAUCUCAAUGAGUUACAAGAUGAUCAGGUGUUGUCAAAUGUUGCAAGAGGAUGGAAUUUUCAUUGUAUUUCUUAUUCUAAUGCUUUUUUCAGCCUAAGUGCAGCACCUACUUUUGAUUUGGCUACCUAUUAGUUCACACAUUUCGAUUAUCUUGCAAGCAGUAAUGUGUUGGUGAUGGUCAAAGUGCAUUCUUAUCCCAGUUGCUGCAUUCUUACACUAGUUAGCACUAGUCAGCGUUAGCAAGUGUGGUUGUGAUUUCCUAUUUCUUUUAUACUGCAGCAUAACAUAUAUAUCUCAUUAUGGUUUUGAAAAUCAAGUUCAAGCUAUUUCCUCUUGUCUGGUUUUCUAAUGGUGCUGGGAAUGAGCUUGUUAUGCUUGUGUUUGUCGAGAUAUGUACAUUUAUGCUUGUGAUGAGUUGUUGCAUCUAAUUGUAUCCUAUGGAGCAGAGUCAGCUGUCACGUCUUCUGGUUAUUCACUUUGGGUCUUUCACAACCAUGUAGAACACUUCAAGCAAGGCUAUCUGGUGUAGGGUAGCAUGAUCAUCAGUUGAUGAAUAGUUGGUUCUUGUCAUACUCGACUGCUUCUCAUGCUUAACAGUUUUACAGUGAGCAGUUAAUUUGAGUCUCCUUGGAUGCAGUGGGUUGGUUCUUGUUUGUUUGCGACAUCAUCAACUACGUUUAGAAGCUCCAAUAUGGUUUUGCUGAGUUACAAGUGAUGAAAUAUUAUAUGGUCUGCAGCAACAAGAACUCAUAACAGUUAUCAGUAUAUUCCAAUUUUGUGUUUCGUCAAGUUUGGCACUACAAUUACCACUACUUCUGUAAAACUAUUAAUGCUGCAUACACUGCUCCUGUGCUACUUACUUCUCUACAUCAACUUAUCCUGCACUACUCCAUCAAUUAUUUGCUAUUACCUGCAUAUUUCAGCUUUCACAUGCUGCUUGGGACCUUCUCACAGGAGAAGAGAAUAAUGGAAAUACGCAAGAAAAGUUAUCAAAACACGCGAGAAGUAGAAGGGAGUCACGUCUAUCAUUGCCGUCUAUUAAGGAAGGAAACAGAGAUUUAUUGGGACUUCAUUUUAUUUGGGCACCAUGUGUACUAAAUGAUUCAUGGAAAACGAGUAAAUAUCAAAGGCUACAUGGAAAUUAAGUGAGCAUCUAUGUGAAAUAGCCGCUAUAAAAAUGUAAAUGUUAGACAAAACUGUCUACUUAAAUAACCAAGAAUAGUGAUUCAUUUACAGAAAAGAAUAGGGAGGUAGGUUUGGUAAAGUUUAGAUCGUACAUUAUGGUAUUCCAAUGUAAAAAAUAUGGGAUAUUGGAGUAAACUAUGUGGACAACGAAGUCGACAAUACAUGGAUGGAUUUAUGUUGCUGUUUAACCACCAAAUUGAGACUUUGUUAAUCAGCUGAAUUCAUAACUUUUAAAUUUGAUUGCUUAUGGUGGA